rnacentral:lncRNA from 1 species
GCGAUAGCGGCGGCGCGGCCAGCGGAGCCGGGAGGCGGGUUAGCAGUGGCCUUGUGAGCGUGAGGAGCUGCCGCCACCGCCUGCUCCUCGUCGUCCUCGUCCUCCGCGGCCCCGGCGACGUGGGCCGCGCACGGCCCUGGAAGAGACGUCGCCUCCCCUUCAUCCACCUCUCUCUCACCGCGCCGCUCCCGCCUCCUCGUCCUGUGCUGCGGGCUCAGGCGGAACCCGGAACGGUCGUCCUCUUCCCCCGCCCGCCGCCGCCUCCUCCUUCUCCUCCUUCUCGGCUUCCUCCUCAGCCCCGGGCCGGAGCGGGGUGUUGGCGGCGGCCGGUUCGGGCGGCGACUCGCGCUUCUCUGGGCGGCGGCGCUUGGCCAUGUCGUGUCGGGGAAGGUAAUGAGCCGCAGAGCCCCGGGGUCUCGGCUGAGCGGCGGCGGCGGCACCAACGGCACCAACUAUUCGCGGAGCUGGAAUGACUGGCAACCCAGAUUGACUUGAUGCACAACAUCACAAAGGCGAUUUUUGAGAACUGAUAGUGCAUCAGCCGACCCAGGUAAUUUAAAAUAUUCUUCAUCCAGAGAUAGAGGUGGUUCUUCCUCUUACGGACUGCAACCUUCAAAUUCAGCUGUGGUGUCUCGGCAAAGGCACGAUGAUACCAGAGUCCACGCUGACAUACAGAAUGACGAAAAGGAGAGAUCGAUGUCUUAUUGUGAUGAGUCUCGACUGUCAUAUCUUCUUCGGAGGAUCACCCGGGAAAACGACCGAGACCGAAGAUUGGCUACUGUAAAGCAGUUGAAAGAAUUUAUUCAGCAACCAGAAAAUAAGCUGGUACUAGUUAAACAAUUGGAUAUCUUG